rnacentral:rRNA from 1 species
GAGUUUGAUCAUGGCUCAGAUUGAACGCUGGCGGCAUGCCUUACACAUGCAAGUCGAACGGCAGCAUGAUCUAGCUUGCUAGAUUGAUGGCGAGUGGCGAACGGGUGAGUAAUACAUCGGAACGUGCCCUGUAGUGGGGGAUAACUAGUCGAAAGAUUAGCUAAUACCGCAUACGACCUGAGGGUGAAAGUGGGGGACCGCAAGGCCUCAUGCUAUAGGAGCGGCCGAUGUCUGAUUAGCUAGUUGGUGGGGUAAAGGCCCACCAAGGCGACGAUCAGUAGCUGGUCUGAGAGGACGAUCAGCCACACUGGGACUGAGACACGGCCCAGACUCCUACGGGAGGCAGGCAGUGGGGAAUUUUGGACAAUGGGCGAAAGCCUGAUCCAGCAAUGCCGCGUGUGUGAAGAAGGCCUCGGUU